UGUUGAGGCGCUUAUCAAGCUCAAAUACAUUCACACAAUACACUCUAAUAUUCUCACACAAAGGCCCUUUGUAAUUGUAACAUCUAUAGAAACUCCUCAGACUCCCGUCUCCCAGGAAAUAGAAACUUAGUUGAUAAAAUGACGUAAGACAUCAGAUGACCACCAGGUGCAUCCGUAGUAUAGUAAGCGAAUCUUCCCGUUUUUGAUCAGAUGAUGUAUAGACUCGGUCACAUUCACACCUAGUCUGUAAGGGUAAGCGUCUCCUUUUUUAGCGCUAAAAAAGAAUAAAAUAAGUAAAGUCUGAUUACUUGUACUGGCUGAUUUUCUGCUCUGUGUGCGGUACAUUUUUGAUCCAUUUUCAACAAUUGGUAGCAGAGGAUGGUUAUGUGCUGAGACACGAGCAGAGAUUGAACUGGCCGUUCCGGCGCAGCCUGCCGGAAGCAGUGCUCUGGUGUUGGGGCCCCCAUAAAAGGUGAGGAAAAUUUUCCUUAACAAACGCCAUAGCAUUGUUUCUGUUGGACUGUCUAAAUUCCAGAAAUCAGCAGUGGAUGGUGUUGCAUUCUUCUUAAACCUCUGAAUUCCAGCUAUCGAUUGCUGUUAUAUUGUGUGUUGAGUUGUCUGAAGUGGUCAACCAUUGUUCGAUUGUCAGCUGUUGUUCGUACUGCUUUUGAUUUGUUUGUCUAAAGGCUUUCGAGUUAUUCAUAGGAGAAAAGGUUAAAGUUACUUAAACAGUUAAUAGUCAAAGUAAAAGGUCGAUUGGCUCUGUAGUGAGAACUGGUCGUCUCCGACCUUUCCUGGACGCGGGAAGGGGAAAGACUAGGUUUUGUCGGUUCUAUCCUUGGGGAGUGCUGCCCCCUAAAAGAACUCGUUAGCCAAUCUGUGACUUGCUCAAAAAACACAAAAGUGUUGAGAGGGGUCCACCAUAGGAAAAAAGAUAAGAGAAUAAGAUAAAGGUUGAUCGCGAUCUGUUCCUCUGCAGAGAAAUAAGUGAAGAAAAUAAAAAGAGGACAUCAUAGGAGCUGAAAAGCGUGGAUCCAUUUCUGUGUAUCUGUCAGCUGUGUGUGUGUCGGUCAGCUAUGUGUAUGUGAACGUCUGCCGCUGAGCAGACUUUGCGUGUUUAAAUGUACUCUCCUUCGUUUAUUGCAAUAUCUUUUAAAACCAUGGUAAACAUUCGGGAAUUAUAAUCUGUGGGAAGUUUCUUUAUUUCAUCUGUGGUCUUUGAUUUUCUCGCCGCCGCGCGAGCAAAAUCUUUCUGCUGUGUGUGAUUUCCUCGCCGCCGUGCGAGCAAAAAAAAAAAAAAAAAGGAGACAGAGGCUCGCCGCAGUGCGAGGCAGUAAAAAAAGGCAGAAAAGAGGAGAGGUGAUCUCUGGGUUUGAAUAUGGCGCAGGAGGUCGACAUGGAGAAAUAUGAUCCAAAGUGGGGCAUCGGGCCAUGGAUUGCGCUCAGUGAGCAAAUAGAUGGAGUAAUAACUUAUCUGGGGGAACAUGACGAAUUCCAAACGGACGGGGACGGACAAAAAAUACAAAAUAAAUUAAAAGGUCUGGUUGAAAUGGGUGGAGGCGAUUUGCUAAGCAGACAGCCCCUGGGGAAACAUUUGUUGCAGGGAAUCAACAAUUCUAAAAAACAUUUGAUAGACACUAUGCAAAAAGAAGGAGAAGCAGGAGUUUUCACUAACAGAAGCUGUAAAACAAACGAGCAGAAUGCUGAGAGAGAACUCAGGCAGAGGGAAGAACUUUUGGUUUUCUGGCAGGGACUUUCACAUGCAUUUGAACACAAAAAACAAAAAGUUGCCACCAGCUCUGAACACACAAACAUAAAUACAGACAAUUCACUUCCUCCACCAUAUAGUGGAGACGAAACUCGGCCUUCCCAGGGCAUUUAUCCCAUAGUUAACAUUACACAGGGAAUUUUAGCAGUCGAGGGGGAGACAGCUACCCCACAAAACGCUCCCGAAGUCCACACUGGGACUGAAACCCCGAACUGGACUAUAUUAGAUCAGACCCCGUCCACACCAAAUCCCAUGGCUUGGUCUCAGUUAAAUGACACCUUUGUCAGAUCUGCUCAGAGGUUGCAGAACCUGUGUGACAGAGCAGAACAGAUGGAGAGAGGAGAGAUAAAAUCUAAUUCAGCCAAAAACGUUCAAAUUAAAAUGGAUGCAAAUGGAACGUGGGUUUCAGAGGAGAACCUUACAGAUAACACUGACGAACUGAGAGAGGUCUAUCACAUCUUGUGCCCUCUAGAGAGCAUGCGUGGCUUAGGCCUUCACACAGCAGAAGGACAGCACGCCCUAGUUGGGAGCAACACAGGGGCUUAUCCUCUUUUGAAAAACAGUACUGAGGGUCAGAAAUACGUUCCUUUUCCUCUAGAUGACAGAGAGGCCAUAGUAGAUAAACUGCCCAGUAUUACAGCUGGUGGGAGUCUUUGGUUGGCAGAGUUAGACCUGCUGACCUCUGGAAUGACUCUAGCGCUGGGAGAUUUCAGAGCAAUAAUGAGCAGAGCUAUGUCUGGCAUGGUUAUGAGAGACAUAGAACACGCAGCAGGGACCCAAAAUGUAAGUAAUUCUACUCCAGCACAUCAAUUCAUCACACCUUUGGCACGGGAAAUAAAAAGGCAGUUUCCACUGGCCACAAUCACUCCCAUCACCAGGUUUGAAUGGGAUUACAGCAUGGAUCCUAAAGAAUACAUAAAUAAAGCUGCAGAAACCUGGUUCGGAAAAACUACAAUUAAUCCAAAAGGCCCACACUCAAACUUAACUGAAAUGUUUAGAGAGGCAAUCUUGAAAGGUGUUCCUGAACAGGUUGUACAAUCUAUGAGAAAUAAUCCAGAUUUAACAGGGUGCGAGUACGUUAGAUGGGAGAGGCAUCUGCUUCAUCACUUAUUAAAGGCACAAGAUGAGUUCAAGAAAAAGCAGUCUGACACUAAGGAUUUAGAAAUUCAGCUGUGGAAGCUCCAAUUGCAGGAAGCAAAACAAAAAUUGAAUAAAAAAAAAAAGAACAGAUAAAAAGGAACAUGUGAUGGUUGUGGCUGUAGGUGCUGCAACACACACACAAAAUGCAACUUCCUGGCAAAACACUAAUCAGAUUGGGGGAGGACUGGUUCCUCUUCCUGUUUUUUCUGUUUCAUAUCCUCAAAACAGGUACAGAGCGUUUCCUCGUGGACGGGGAAGGCGUUUGGCCGGUCACGGGGGCGGUGCUCCGUGGAGGGGUCGUGGGGCGCGGAUCAGGGGACCACAGCAGGAGGACAUAUGCUACCGAUGUGGACGUGUUGGACACUGGGCAAAACAUUGCUGGGCCAUACCAAAUCACGGGGAACCAGGUAUGAUCCCCCACAAUCCCAAUGUUAUACCUGGACAGUCUUUUCAGGGGAAUAACGAGCCCACACAGAACAUCUAGUGACACGCCCCUGGAGACCCACAGCCCAGCAUGGGAACUGCAGACCCCAUGUUGUCAGCAACACUGGAGGGGAGAGAAACACACUUCCUGGUGGACACAGGUGCUACACACAGCACAUUGAACUUUGUUUCUCCCCUCAGUUUGACGUCACAAACUGUAUCUUUAACUGGGUUCUCAGGGACAGAACAAAGUCUGCCUUUCACUAAGCCUCUGACCUUCACACUGGGCAAUCAGCACCUGCAACAUUCUUUUGUCAGCUCUCCCACAACUCCCGUCAAUUUGCUAGGAAGAGACUUACUGAUAAAACUGGGAGCAACAAUUAUGUGCUCUGUGAAUGGAUUAAUUGUUUCAUUUCCCGAUGGCACGUCCCUCCCUUGUGCAAACUUUCUCACGGAUGGACAAUUUCUCAUGCAGCCAGUUGUUUCUGAGUAUGCAGACAUAUAUUGGGGCCUUUUAACGAACUUACCCUCCAGCCGUCUAAUGUCAACGUUUGUGGACUGGAAACCUUGGCUCCUGUGUCUGCGCUCCUACGUCUCUCCUCCGGGUCCCCCCCACGUGACCCUGUUCUACGACAGAGACGUCUCUGAAUGGUACCAGGAACCUUUCCUUUCCACUUUGGAGGAAACAACCUGGGAGGUAAAAAUCUCAGAUAUUCAUGUAGCUCCAGUUGGUGUAGCUGCUGCUGUCUCUUUCACAGAAACGCAGUCAGAAUGUUAUCAAAUAUCUGAUGAAGCUGUGCCUCACAUCUCUCUCUGUUUGCACCCUGAGCACCAAGCAAAAGAAUUGGGCCCAAUGAUGAAACGCUCCCUGGCAGCCACAGAUUGGAUUGCGACAGCAGUGCCAGAAUGAAGUCCAAUCCUUUCUGGGUGUGCCGGGGUGUGAGACUGUGGGCGCCUUCCACGAUUGUUGGACCGAGUUACAGCCGAAAUCCCACACUGAAGCCUUCCAGGCACUGUCGGGGUUUCCCAGCGACCGCGCCGGUUCUACAUCUGGACACACGCAGAAACUGAUUUGACGUUGAUAGGUCUCGCUAUAGAGAGGCUACAGUGAUUUGAUUUCAUUACAAUGAUUAAAGUUUGAUCAGAAAACAUUUUUACUUCCUUUUAAUCCUAGUUUAAUCAUGCCAGUGUAUUUUGAGUGUACUGCCUUUAAUCCUGAUUUACUUUAUUGAUUUGAUGUUUUACGAAUGUGUUCAUUGUUCUGUGCCUUUCAAUACUCAGAAUUCUAAGCUUUUCUUACCAUUUCAUUAACUUUGCAUCCUUUUCGUAGUUCAUUAACUUUUACAUAUUACAUAGAAAUCUCACCGUUUAGUCUUCUAACAAUGUGUUCAUUUUUGCAUACUACCUAACAUUUCACUGAUUUUACAAAUAAUUUUAAUCUAACAUUUCACUAUUGCAUUUUUAUUAAGUCCACACACUAUCCUAACAUUUUGUUAACUUAGCAUUUAUGUAGAACUUAACAACUUAGUAACUGUGACUUUUCACCUUGUUUUUAAAUACUAACAAUAAAAAAAAAAAAUAUACAAAACCUAACACAAAAUUUUAGACUUUGCUCUUUUGAGUUUUUUACCCUCCUGUGGCAUGGCGUUGACCUGAGGUAACUACAGAAUGAAUAUAAUGAAAAAUCAGACAUAUGAAGUACUAAUGACAACAAAAAUGAUUAAGACAAAACUCACAAGACUACGGAUAACAUUUUAUUGAAAAUAAAUAUAAUAAAUAAAACAACAGAAACAGCUGACAUAGUCAUGCCAUGGGUGGUUGACUAACAUUUCCCUAAACCCCAACACCCUUCAAAAUUUUGUUUCUAUUUGUGCAUUUCUCCAGAUUGUAAGGUGGACAUUGUGAUUUCUUCCACCGCCUGCGAGGCGAGGGGUGCCCUGUCCGUUUUUACCCCCAAAAUAUGUGAUGAAAUGAAAUGACAUGAAAUAAAAACAUUGGUGGAGGAUGCGGGAGGACGAAGCCUCAGGGGGAAGUUUUCCGGAAGGGACAGUGUCUACUCGAGGAUGUACAGCCCCCCUCUUUUAUUCUUUUCGUUAUUUUCCAUUUUUCUUGUUUUAUGUGGUCUCGUUGAGACCAAAAGGGGGAGCUGUUGAGGCGCUUAUCAAGCUCAAAUACAUUCACACAAUACACUCUAAUAUUCUCACACAAAGGCCCUUUGUAAUUGUAACAUCUAUAGAAACUCCUCAGACUCCCGUCUCCCAGGAAAUAGAAACUUAGUUGAUAAAAUGACGUAAGACAUCAGAUGACCACCAGGUGCAUCCGUAGUAUAGUAAGCGAAUCUUCCCGUUUUUGAUCAGAUGAUGUAUAGACUCGGUCACAUUCACACCUAGUCUGUAAGGGUAAGCGUCUCCUUUUUUAGCGCUAAAAAAGAAUAAAAUAAGUAAAGUCUGA